ensembl:lncRNA
UGGGGUCUGAUGGGUCAGCGUGGCUGACAGCUUGGAGAUUGAUAGUUGAGAUCUUUCCCAGGCGGAACAGUGUUGGACAACAUGAGCAGUGAUCCAAGGCACCAGCAGAGCAGAGUGGAGGUGGGGCAAAAACUGCAGAUGUGGUGAAGAGUGUAUAUGCGAGCGGGCCUGUGUGUGGUCUUUUGGCUGAAGGCCAUAUCCCUCCUGUCAUCAGGACUGCUGAAUGGUACUCAGUACCUGCAGACUCAGAUCUAAGCACCUGGGGAUCCACCAGUGCUUCGGGAUGAGUAAAAUUUCAAAGAAAAUGGAAUCUUUUAUUUUUUUUUCUCCUUUUUUGUUCUUUGUCCUCUUAUUGAAUUUUUUUUUUUAUUAUUCUCUGCUGUCAUUUCCUUUCCUUUCUUAUCUAGUGUUCUCAGACAAAGCAAAUACCCCAAGAUUAGCACUGAGAGAAAUUGUCACUCUUCCUGAUGUUGAUCAGAGCCAUCCGAACGUUUCUCUCUGGCAGAGCUGAGGCCAGGAUACGCUUGAGUGUUUUUGAGGGCACUGACCU